GAUGAAGAACGCAGCGAAAUGCGAUAAGUAGUGUGAAUUGCAGAAUUCCGUGAAUCAUCGAAUCUUUGAACGCACAUUGCGCCUUCUGGUAUUCCGGAAGGCAUGCCUGUUCGAGAGUCAUUAACAACCGUUUCGAUCCCUUUCUUUCAGAAAUUACAAAGAGGAAAAGGGUUUGGUUAUGGUGGAGGAGGGAAAGGGAGCGUUUAGCCUGUAAAAAAAGAGGCUAUGUUCCGCCUCCCCCCCAAAAUUGUACAGGCGGUCGUGUGCGCCCACGCAUCGAGGUGUUGUAAAAGCUGCCACGGCACUUUUCACCUGUGCAGUGCGAGAUUGGCCAGCCGGUUUAAAAACCCCUCCAAACAAUCAAAGGUUGACCUCGGAUCAGGUAGGGAUACCCGCUGAACUUAAGCAUAUCAAUAAGCGGAGGA
rnacentral:misc_RNA from 1 species